GAUGAACGCUAGCGGCAGGCCUAACACAUGCAAGUCGAGGGGCAUCGCGGUGCAGCAAUGCACUGGCGGCGACCGGCGUACGGGUGCGUAACGCGUAUGCAACCUGCCCCGCACCGGGGGAUAGCCCGCCGAAAGGCGGAUUAAUACCCCAUGGCCCCGGGGGCCCGCAUGGGCAUCCGGGUAAAGCCUUGGCGGUGCGGGAUGGGCAUGCGUGCCAUUAGCUGGCUGGUGGGGUAACGGCCCACCAGGGCAACGAUGGCUAGGGGGUCUGAGAGGAUGGUCCCCCACACUGGUACUGAGACACGGACCAGACUCCUACGGGAGGCAGCAGUGAGGAAUAUUGGUCAAUGGGCGGAAGCCUGAACCAGCCAUGCCGCGUGCGGGAUGAAGGCCCUACGGGUUGUAAACCGCUUUUCCCCGGGAAGAAUAAGCCCCCCGCGGGGGGUGAUGCCGGUACCGGGGGAAUAAGGAUCGGCUAACUCCGUGCCAGCAGCCGCGUAAUCAUACUCGUA
rnacentral:rRNA from 1 species